AGGGAACGAGCGAGCUCGAGCUAGACGACGGCAAUGGCGGCUUCGACGACGACGGUGAGGAGGAUCAAGCUGGGGUCGCAGGGCCUCGAGGUGUCGGUGCAGGGGCUGGGCUGCAUGGGCAUGUCCGCCUUCUACGGCCCUCCCAAGUCCGACACCGACAUGAUCGCCCUGAUCCACCACGCCGUUGGCUCCGGCGUCACCUUCCUCGACACCUCCGACAUCUACGGCCCCCACACCAACGAAACCCUCCUCGGAAAGGUCGGUUCUCUCUCAGUCUCUGUUUUGCCUCCGCAUGAAUUAUAUGUGCUUAUAGUGUUACGGAAUUUAGCUUCAUCGAGCAGAGUGCUCUGAUCCUGCGCCUUGGUUUUCUGAUUUCGGGGUUGAUUUUGAGCAGGCACUGAAGGGAGGGGUGAGGCAGAAGGUGGAAUUGGCGACCAAGUUCGGAAUCAGCUUCGCGGACGGGAAGAGGGAGGUCCGGGGCGAUCCGGCGUACGUGAGGGCGGCUUGCGAGGCCAGCUUGAAGCGGCUUGACAUCGAUUGCAUCGACCUCUACUACCAACAUCGCAUCGACACUCGCGUCCCCAUCGAAGUCACUGUAUGGAUCCCCCAUCAAACUUUCACCUCGCUUGAGACUUUCUCCGAGCCAUAUGAUUAGUUGCUAAGUUAGAUUGGUGUUGAUGAUGCAUCGUCAUGUUGUUACAAGUUUGUUGAAAUUUGUUAAAUGACACUUAAGUUCGGCUGAUAGCAGAGUUCAAGAUGCGGCACGUUGUUGUUCAAGGGGUUGUGGAAUUUAGUAGUUUAGUGGCUUGAGUUUUCGUUUUGUGGGCAUCUUUUACAAGUUAAGGGUCAACAAGCAUGAAAAUUAUUCAAAAUCUUCCUUUGAGAUGAAAGUGCUCCAGGGUUCAUCCAGAAUUUAUAUACGGGAAUCACAUAUAAAGUUGUUCCUGGACUUUAUGUGGAGACAUUUGAUUCUUGACAUAUUGUGAAAUAUGACAAGUACUUGGAAUACUUCUUUUAUUUGCUCUCUUCUGUGAGAGAUUCAAGAAAUCAACCUCCGUUAACUCAAUACCUUGUGACUUUUUUGUCGCAUUGAGAUGCAUGAUAAUAGAGGGAUCUAGACGCAUAAAAAGCUAAUGACAUGCAUAAUUUUCUGGAUCUUAACAUGUAAGAUCUUGAUGUUGUUGUUCUGUCAUGUGAAUAUGCACAGAUCGGAGAGCUAAAGAAGCUCGUUGAAGAAGGUAAGAUAAAGUACAUCGGUUUAUCCGAGGCCUCUGCAUCAACAAUCAGAAGAGCACAUGCUGUUCAUCCCAUCACAGCAGUGCAAUUGGAGUGGUCGCUUUGGUCAAGAGAUGUGGAGGCAGAGAUCGUUCCAACGUGCAGGUAGGAUAUCACUCUGUUAAUUGUUUAUGCAGCAACAACAGCUUCCUUCUGACUCUGCUUUUCCUUUAAAAUGCUGACUAGGGAGCUUGGCAUUGGAAUUGUUGCCUACAGUCCUUUAGGACGAGGAUUCUUUUCUGUUGGCUCCAAGUUGGUGGAGAAUAUCUCUAAGGAUGACUUCAGACAGGUCUGUUCCUGCUUGUCAACAUAAUUAGAUGUUUACAUUGACUGUCAUUCUUAUUGAAGUGCUGGAAACCUGUUCUUGUGGUAUAAAGAAAAAGUAUCUGGAUGGGAUGAAUAAAACUUGGUGACACGAAUGCUUCGUGUUCUUAUAUGUCUUUAAUCCAGCACUUGCCAGACAUCCCACCUCUCUUGAUUCUAGAUAAAUGUAAAAUCACAAGUAACGGCUUUAAUGAGCCUGAAAGAGGCAGUUUCCUGGAUUCUCGUGCUUUUGGGAAUGAAUACAUAUAGGUUUAUAUGUAAGUUGCUCUGUUUCCCAGCCUUCCCAACAUUUGCUUAUCACUAUCCUUUCCCCACUUUCCACCCACCCUUUUUCUCUCAUCUUUCUUCACAAGAAUAGCGAUAUUUCCUCGAAAUAACUGACGCCAGUAUCGGGCUUUGGCCCUCCGUCCUUUUUCAUUCUCAUCUUUCUUCACAAGAUAAACUAUAUCUUGACACAACCAUUUCUUGAGCGCGGACUCCCGACACCCUUCUUAUGAGAGUUUUGGAUCAAGUUCCCAUCUGACAUAAAGCCAAUUGUGUAUUACUCCCCGCCAUUAGCGUUUGACUAGCGAUAGUGCUGGGCAAGUGAAGUAGCUAUUUUUCUUUGUAGCUAAAAGAGCUCUGCGUCUGAUAACAUUCUUCUACUCAUCAUCUACAUUUCUGAUUUUUUAUUUUAUGUGACUAAUGGUAUCAUCACACGUACAAAACUUAGAUUGUCGAGUUUGUUUCUGUUUUCACAUCCUACAUCAAGCCCAUCAGCCUUGUGUGGUAGUUGCUAGAUCACUUCGCUUGACGUUUCUAAUGCUUAUGAUUUGGGACAUGAUAUUUUAAUCAUUUCAAGAUAAUUUAUAACUGAUCAUGCUUUUUCAGAUACACAACGAUUGCACACUUCUAAAUGCUUAUUAUGUCAAGUAACAAGACAAUCCGAUGGCAUGCAAUGCAACCACUUUUGCACUUGUUGCUGUAGAAUUUAGCCUUAAGAGGAAAAUGAUAAUUUCUCAUAUGCUCUCUGCUGAGACAUUGCUCUAUGUUAUGCAGUAUCUACCAAGGUUCCGGCCAGAGAACUUGGCUCACAACACGAAGUUAUUUGACCGAGUGAAUGAAAUUGCGCAAAGAAAGGGAUGCACCACAUCGCAGUUAGCCCUGGCCUGGGUACACCACCAGGGUGACGACAUUUGCCCGAUUCCCGGCACAACCAAGAUCGAGAAUUUCAACCAGAACAUUGGAGCUCUGUCAGUGAAGCUUACACCGGAAGAGAUGGCCGAGCUUGAAUCGAUUGCUUCUGCGGACAAUGUCAAGGGUGGCAGGUACGAUGGAAGCAUGUCUACAUGGGAAAACUCCGACACUCCACCCCUUUCUUCUUGGAAACCUGCCUAGAAGCGUGUCUGCUUCUGUUGCUGCAUCUUUGAUGUGCAGAGGUUGAGCAUUUGCCGCUGAAGUAAUUUGAGUUUAUGUUGUGUGGCUGUUAUAAGUAUGUGUAAUAAGAGAGUGACUGUUUUCAUUUUGUACAUGUGACAUUCACUAUGAUAAGAUUAUGGAUGUGUACUAACCUUACUGGGGAAAGAUCACUCGAUAAACACGAGAGCGAGUUGAAUACGAACUGAGCCUGCCGUGUCGACUUUAUUGGGGUGACUUUUAGAAUCUGAGAAAUCGGGAUUUUGAAGAAUUCAAACUCAGUCGUACAUACUAGAGUGGUAUUCUCCACCAACCAUGAGUUCAAUCUCUUAAGACUGGAUGCUGCACAUAGAUGCAAAGCUUCGCUUUGUGUUUGGUUUGGUAGCGAAGUUAAGGAACAGUAAAAUGUUACCGGAUGUUCUCGCGAAAACGAAGUUGGGGAUAAAAUGCUGGCGCGGAUGAUAUGAGCGUCGGGGAAAUCGAGGGUUUCUUGUUCAAGUUUCACCACCUACGGUUCAUGAGCUUUUAUGUAGCUCGAUACCUUCGCUCAAUGCCUCUGCAUUAUUAUAAAACAGUCGGAGAUAUUGCGCAAGUUUCCUAAAAUUAAAAACGACACUUCUAUUGUUUUUUAUUUGGAGUUAGAGUGGUGCAAUGUUGUUUUGUUUUGGUUUAGGAAAAUAACGCAAAUAGUCACUACACUUUGGUCCAAUGUGUUAUGUUCUUACUGAAUUUUUAACUUGUUUAAUAUGGUUGUCGAGCUUUUUGUAUAUGUUUAAUUUAAAUCCUAGGCUAGAUAAAUCCAAUGAUGCCGUGUUUGGUCGGUUCGAAGAUCGUUGCUAUAUGGGAUAAUGAUAGGAUAAAAAUCCCAUCUAAUAUUUCUUGACGUCUGGAUAUAACAUGAUUCAAAUAAUUUUUUUUUUAAACGAGUGUUUGAUUUGUAUAAUUAAAAUUAAAAAUAAACCAUGGAAGUCGUGAAUACUAUUCAUCCUUUCACAAUCUUCAUCCAUAUCAAGCACCCCCGUUCCAUGUGACUUCAAGGACGCUCGCUCCUUCUGCAACACCCCUUUCGCUGCCCUUGAUCAACUUGAUGGAUUACGCUCGCUCUGCCUUUUGACUUCGCCACAUUGAGAGGCCCUUGGGUUUGAGUUCUCCGCUGGUCUAGCCAUCUUUAUUUUCAACGCCUUUUCCUGCGAUGAAUCCAUCCCCCUCGACGAGUGUGAAUGCCGCGUUGAUUCCCUGUUACCGUGCUCCGACUUGUUCAGUCGCUUCAACAGCUUCCCCCGAGACAGCGUGCGGAUCCGGUUUAUGAGUGGUAGCAGCAUCGGUACUACUCGCUCCGAGUGACGUGGUUGAGGAGCUCUAUCACCUUGGCUGCCGCCUCUUUCGGAUCAUCUUCUUCACAGAGGAGGUGUCCAGCUUUGAUCGGGAUCACAAAUUUCCCUACUAAAAUGAAGUUGAGUGACACAAGAAAGAGGCAGGGCUGACGAGCUCCGCGAUACUCAUGCUCAUGCUCUAAUUUUGUGGUGGUCAUUUUAGCGAGACAAAUUGGAACAAGAGAGAGAUGAUGGUGGCACUGGUCAAAAGCGAGGAUAAGCUAUAAAAAGCGCCCCGCCGCCCGGGGGGGGGGGGGGGGGGGGGGGGGGGGUCAGUUUUUCAAAUUUCACAUAUUUUAUCUGGAUUUAUAUCACUUUCUAGAUGUGAUUUUUUAUCCGUGCUAUAUCCUAAUUUCACAUUACUCUAGACACCAUAUAGGAUUAAACUUAUCAUAUUAGAGUUUUAUCCAGCCCUUCAAAUGCAGUCUUAUGAGAUAGAAUGCAAUGAUAUAAUCUGUGAACUAAAUUUAAACAUUUAUUAAAAGUUUACGAACGGAAUUUCACAUUUUGAUUGUUAAGAUGCAUGAGUGAGUUAUGUUAAAAUAAUCACACAAUAUAUUGAUAGCUUUAAAAAUGGGCUUUCUCUUGGUGAUGACGUUGAUCCAUAUAGAGAAAUUAAUGAGAGGGUUUAUUUGGCCUAACUAAAUGGGAGGCUAUAUCAAUGGGAGGUUUUUCAUUGUAACAUUCCCUUGUGCUUGGAAUUUGUUUUUUAGUAAAGGAUUUUAUUAGCGUAAUAAUAGUCUUUGGGUUAUUAUGUGAAUAACAAUUUAUUGUGAGUCACAAAUUUUUUAAAGUAAUGAACCCCAUAAUAAUUUCAAUUAUUUGUUACUUGAUUUUUUGUAGUUUAGAAUAAAAAUUAUCACCAAGUUAUUUCUUUUUAACAAAUAUAUUGCUCUAACUGUUGUUUUCAAUUAAGUUUGCAUCGGAGAAGAGAUUAUUUUGUUUUGCUACGCUUGUCGGAUAUUGCACAGGAUAUUGUCAUUUUCUUAGCACUAGCAACGUUGCGUUCAGACAAGGCGGCAUGGAAUUAUUUGCUCAGCUGCACAUCACACGACCAUACAUUCAUGGACUGUUCCUCAGGAAAGCAUAUAGACAUGUGGCAGAUGCAGAACAUUUCACGAGAUUAAAAAAAAGAAAAUAAUUUUUAAAAAACAAUACUUUCGACUUCAAAACGUGCCAAUCGAACGCCUGCUACUCCCGCCUAUAAAGCUCGGCUCACCCAACGGCUUCGUUGUCGUCUCGAACUGUCCAUUCUCCAUUCUCUGUUCUUGCAUCGACCUCGAGCUAGACGAUGGUGGCAAUGGCGUCGUCAGACGGUGAGGAGGAUCAAGUUGGGGUCGUAGGGUCUCAAGGUCUCGGCGCAGGGGCUGGGCUUGCAUGGGCAUGUUGGAAGAUAUGCGGAUUGCCUGAUUUGAUUUGAUCUUAAUUGAUCAUGAUUAAUCACGAUCUUCAUGUAUAUGUAAAUUAAAAAUUAGAUCUAGAUCUCGAUUGAUAAUCCAGAUCAUUUACUUCCUUAUUCAAGAUAGAGCUUGUAUUAUAUCUCUGCAAAAUUGUACAUUCAGAUUGUAAUAGUGAUAAUACAGAAAAAUCUCCCCACAUCGAUUCCCAUUUUCCUCUCCAAACUUCAUCCGUUCUUCCUUCACUCUUGCCUUCUUUCAUGGUAUCAGAGCAGCUUUGAUCUCUGACUCGCUUCCGUUCCAAACCACUGCUGAAGAAAAUUCUCAACCUGCAAAAGGGUUGAUCUUUCGGCAUUAGGCAUACUCUCGAAGGAAGAAAUUUAAAUUAUCUUACUAUGGCCUCUCCGCAGGACUCCAGUCUGGCUGCUGACGACAGGACCACCGAAGAAAGUAGUCCUCAAGCUCCACAGAUCCAGAAUCUCCCUGCAGUAAUACCAGUAUCCACCCAACCCCAGCAGUGGCGGCCCACGCAGGCUCAGUUUCAAUUGGGGCAACCCACGACGGGUCAACCAUACUAGUGGAUCCCCUAUCCACUCUAUUUUGGGCCAAGCCCAAAUUUCUCAUCGCCUUUUUUCGUGGGCCACCAGAAUCACAAUGGAGGCCCGCCAGCCACGAAUGGGGCAAGCCCAUCCAUCGCGAGAGAGCAGACGGGCGGUUCAAGCGAAUCGGGUACGGGGCAUAAUCCCUACCCGGGACAUGUCAAUGCGGGGUAUCUAGUUGGAUUGAGCGAAUCGGGUCAAGGGACGAAUCCCUACCCGAAUUUCGCACCGGGUUUUCUGUCCAUUCCAGCGGCGGCGUUCACUGGGCGACUAGAAAUAGGCGAUCCUCUGUUUGUCUCCACCGCUGACGGAUCGGAGCUUUGACUGAUAAACCAGCAACUAACCGGACUAGAGACCUAUUCGAAGUGGUCACAGGAGCUCCGGCGGGCAUUGGUGACAAAAGACAAAGACGGAUUUCUCGAUGGGACAAUUUCCAUCCCCUCCGAUGAACGCCUAGCCGGACACUGGCGGAAAUGCAAUCAACUCGUCCGAAUGUGGAUCAGAAAUUGCAUAUCCCCAGAAGUCAUGGCUGGGCUUCCACCCACAGAGGAUGCCAAAACCAUGUGGGAAAACAUUCGAGAAAUAUACGGUAAAAUGGAUCAAGCAAAAGUUUUUAAUCUUAUGCAGGAAAUUAGCGAACUCAAACAGGGAAAUUCGACGGUCACGGCCUGCUUCAACAGGCUAUCGUCCCUCCUGAAUCAACUCGAAGCAGUAGAAGAAAAGCUCGAAGGGCCAGAAUCUACCCUCAAGCAGUACAAACAAAUCAAAGAGAGAGAAAAAGCCACGCGAUUCUUGCUGAUUUUAAACGAAUCGUACCUCACGUUUCGGUCACAGAUCCUUGUCAUGGAUCCCAUGCCACCGAUCGGACGUAUUUACAAACUGGCGAUGCAGGAGGAGAGUCAGCGACUCACAAUCACGAACAACGGUGAGAGCAUCGCUCUGGCUGCCCGCGGAGAGGGGAGAACCCUAACCCUAGCUCGUGAAAAUGAAAAGAAAAGCCCUUUAGGGUUCGACGAGCUCGAUUCGCGCGGGCUUAAAAGGGAUGGGAUGAACGGCCAGGAUUACAUGCAAGGAUCGAGCGGCUUAGAUUACUCCCGAAAAUAUGACGGCCCAGAUUACGCAUGGAGAUCCGACGGUCGUCAAGGAAUCGAAAUUGCGCCUGGAUUGGACGGUGGACAGCAGAUCGCGAUCAAAGGAACGGACGGCCAGAUCUUCACCACGUCAUCAAAGAAUUUCGCAAAUUUUUUUAAAGGAAAGGGGUAAAUUUUUUUGCGAUUAUUGCAAACGUACUAAUCAUACCAUUGACAGUUGCUGGAAAUUACACGGGAAGCCGGGAGAAAAGGAGAAAAAAAUUUCCACAGCUUAUCAAGUCACUGGACCAGCUGGUCCAAAAAUUGACCAGCCAAUCUCAUAUGGUCAAUAUCAGCAACUCAUGCAAAAACUACAGAAGAUGGAAAUUUCCAACAAAGGGGGCAAUUUCUCAGGUAUUUCACAUUGCCUAAUUAAUUCCAUUUCCAGGAAGGCGUGGAUUAUAAUUCUGGGGCAAGUGACCAUAUUAUACGCGACAAGGGAUUUUUUUUUCAAAUAUAAAUGAAAGUUUGAAUUUUCCUGUCUCCGUACAAUUACCCAACGGAAAUGUUACUCAUGUCAAAGUGAUAGGAACAGUGAAUCUCAGUCCUCAGAUUAUUCUCUAGAAUGUGCUAUAUGUCCCAGAAUUCCAAUUCAACCUCAUAUCUGUGUCUCAAGUCUGCAAAGAGAACUCAUGCCGGGUAAUAUUCAAUGCUGACACAUGUUUAUUUCAGGCCCUUUCGACUGGAAGACAGAUGGACUUGGGUAAUCUUUCUGAAGGACUCUAUUUCUGGACGAGUUUUCCAAGUAAUUUCAAUUUUCCAUGCAAUUCCUUGAAUAAAAAAUCAUUGUGUAAUUCAACUGCCAAUGAUAGAAAUUUGACUAUGCAUAUGAGAUUGGGUCACAGUGCUUCAUUUUCAUAUCAUGAAUGUCUUAUAUGUCCCCUUGCAAAGCAAUCUCGCACACCAUUUUCUUCUAGUACUUCACGGACUAGUCAAAUAUUUGCAUUACUUCACGUGGACAUUUGGGGACCUUAUCAUACAGUCAAUCAUGAUGGCUCCCGUUAUUUUCUUACGAUAGUAGAUGACUAUUCUCGGGCAACAUGGAUCUUCCUAAUACAAUAAAAAAAUUAGGUCUAUUCUCACCUGAAAAAUUUCAUUAUGCUAUCUAAGAACCAAUUCAGGAAAUCCAUUCAGCGGAUUCGCACAGAUAACGGGAGAGAAUUCUUCAGUCAUGAAUGCUCCCAGUUAUUCAAUUCUCAUGGUAUUCGACACGAAAGUUCCUGCAUUUACUCACCACAACAAAAUGGAGUGGUUGAAAGAAAGCAUCGCCAUCUACUGGAAGUGGCUCGUGCCUUGAAAUUUCAAGCAUCAAUUCCAGAAAGAUAUUGGGGUGACUGUGUCACCAUAGCAGCUUAUCUUAUUAAUAGAAUGCCUACUCGGAUUCUUAAUGGACAGAUGCCAUUCGAGCUGUUAUUUGGGAAGAAACCGGACUUGAAUCAUCUCAAGAUCUUCGGAUGUCUCUGCUAUGCUGCAAUCAUGGGGCCUCGAGAUAAAAUGAGCCCAUGUGCGCGGCGAUGCGUCUUUAUGGGAUAUCCCAAUCUCCAGAAGGGGUAUCGGGUGCUUGAGAUUUCCACAGGAGAAUUCAUAGUAAGUCAUGAUGUCAUUUUCCAUGAAACUACUUUUCCAUUUUAUGAAGGGGAAUCUUCACAUGGAGAUCCAAAGAUAACUUCCAGCCAUCAUAAUUUUCUCAAUGAUGAAGCACCAUACCGGGAUCUUUCCUAUGUACCAAUAGUACAGCCGAGGGAUCCUAUUCUUCCUACAGUCCCAGUUCUACAAGAUUCUAAUGGAAAUUCGAAUUCUUCAGAACAUAUUCAGGGAGAUAUCUUGGAGGAACCCAUUGCUGAUGCAGAAGUUGAUGACACUACAACAACUUCAUUACCAGCAACAUCACAGCCCACCACCGAAGCUGGACAUCCUAGGAGGUCUGAACGAGCUACAAGACCACCAACCCGGACGAAAGAUUAUGUCUGUACUACUCACAACUCUCCAAGUAUUCAGUAUCCAGUCUCUUCAUAUGUUUCCUUUGAUAGAUUGUCUCAAGAACAUAGAUGUUGUAUUAGUCGAUUGUUUGAAGAGAAAGAACCGUCCAGUUAUAAAGAAGCCUCCAAUAACCCAAAAUGGCAAGAGACCAUGAAGGCAGAAUUGAAGGCCCUUACUGAUAAUCAUACAUGGGAUCUUGUUCCAUUACCAGCUCAUCGUAAACCAAUUGGAUGCAAAUGGGUUUACAAAAUCAAGUAUCGGGCUGAUGGCUCCAUUGAACGGUACAAGGCAAGAUUGGUAGCUAAGGGGUUCACCCAAAGAGAAGGUUUUGACUACCACGAGACGUUCUCACCAGUUGCCAAAGAUGUUACAGUCCGUUCAUUCUUAGCUGUUGCUGCCAUCAAUGACUGGCACCUACACCAGAUGGAUGUCCAUAAUGCUUUUCUCCAUGGCAAUCUAGAUGAAGAGAUCUACAUGAAUAUUCCUCAAGGCAUACAGAGACAGGGGGAUAAUAAGGUGUGUCGUCUCCGUAAAUCCCUUUAUGGAUUAAAACAGGCAUCCGGACAAUGGUAUGCUAAAUUUGCCAGUGCUCUUACAACAGCAGGCUUCAAGCAAUCCAAGCAUGAUUAUGCUCUGUUCUAAAAAACUAAAGGUAUGUCAUCUAUCUAUUUGAUGAUUUAUGUCGAUGACAUACUUGUUAUGGGAAAUGAUAGAGCCUCUAUAGAGAAUUUCAAGGAAUAUUUGCAUGCUACCUUCCAUAUUAAAGACUUAGGAGCACCAAAAUAUUUCCUUGGAAUCGAAGUUGCUCGAUCUGACAAGGGAAUUUCCCUUAGUCAGCGGAAGUUCAUUCUAGAAAUCAUAUCAGAAGUAGGUCUAUUAGGAUGCAAGCUAGCUGUAAUUCCUAUAGAGCAAAACACUAAGUUGACCAUCGCAGACUAUGAUAAGGGAAUAUUUCGAAAUGAUGAUUCCUUACUCAGUGAUCCGUCAGGCUAUCAAAGACUUGUUGGGAAACUUAUAUACCUGACAAUGACUAGACCUGAUAUCUUAUAUGCGGUUCAGACACUUAGCCAGUUUAUGCAUCAACCAAAGCGUUCUCAUUUGGAUGCAGCCUUAAAGGUCGUUAAAUAUCUCAAGAAAUGUCCGGGGCUAGGGAUACUUCUCUCUAAGGAAUGUGACAUGAGGAUGACAGCAUAUUGUGAUGCAGACUAUGCAACAUGUCCGAUUAGUCGAAGAUCUGUUACUGGAUAUUGCAUUAAAUUGGGAGGAUCUCUUCUAUCUUGGAAAACCAAGAAACAAGCUACUGUGUCUCUGUCCUCAGCCGAAGCAGAAUAUCGAGCUGUGGCCAAGGCCACUUGUCAAGUAGUUUGGAUGCGAGGAUUACUCAAGGAUCUUGGAGUAGAAGUGCAAGGACCCACAAGGUUAUAUUGUGAUAAUGAUACAGCUCUUAAACUUGCAACUAAUCCUAUAGUACAUGAAAGAACCAAGCAUAUAGAAGUGGAUUGUCACUUCACACGGGAAAAGAUCCAGGAAGGAGUAAUUGAGACGAGGAAUUUGGACAACGGAGCAACCAGUAGACUUGUUCACCAAGCCCCUAUGUCAGAGGCAACAUGCAUAUCUAUUAAAAAAGCUAGGCGUCUUGGACAUCUACAAGCCACCAGCUUGAGGGGGAGUGUUGGAAGAUAUGUGGAUUGCCUGAUUUGAUUUGAUCUUAAUUGAUCAUGAUUAAUCACGAUCUUCAUGUAUAUGUAAAUUAAAAAUUAGAUCUAGAUCUAGAUUGAUAGUCUAGAUCAUUUACUUCCUUAUUCAAGAUAGAGCUUGUAUUAUAUCUCUGCAGAAUUGUACAUUCAGAUUGUAAUAGUGAUAAUACAGAAAAAUCUCCCCACAUCGAUUCCCAUUUUCCUCUCUAAACUUCAUCCGUUCUUCCUUCACUCUUGCCUUCUUUCAGGGCAUAUCUACUUUGCCGGCCCUCCCAAGCCCAACCCCGACACGAUCGAGCUUGUCCACCACGCCGUUGAAUCUGGCGUUGCCUUCCUCGACACCUCCGACAUCUAUGGCCUUAACGCCAAGGAAGUCCUCCUUGGAAAGGUCGGUAUUUAUUUUGUAGAUAUAAUUGAAGAUCUUGAUCGUGACGCCAAUCCUAAUUGCGGACUAAUUGAUUUGGUCAAUUUGUGAUUGUUUAGUGAAUAUGGAAAUUUUUGUAAUUCUUUAUAUAUUAUUUCAUUUUUUCUCUUUCAUUCUUACACUAUAAAUAGACCAAUGAACUAAUAUACAGAUCAAUCAAUAUACAACAAAAUUUUCUUCAUUUUCUCUUUUGUUUUCUAUUAUGUUAUCAGUGUCAUUCUUCCUCGCCUAGCUUCCCAUAUCUUAGAGUUGCCUUUCUUUUUUUCUUUGUUUUUUUUUUUUUUUUGGUUAUUGCAAGUCCUCAUCCUGCAAUACAAAUCAGCAAAUCGAUUAGGAAUUCAAUUUUUUUUUUCAAUACCAAGGCAAAAAAUAAGAACACUGAGAGCUCCAUGAUAGAGGAGACACCUACCUCACCUCAAAAUCAAGCCCCAUCGCCGUCGGAUUCGAUUAUGAUUUGGGACAAUAUAUUUUAAUCAUUUCGAGAUAAUCUUUAACUGAUCAUGCUCUUCCAGAUACACAGCAAUUGCGCACUUCCAAAUGCUUAUUAUGUCAAGUAACAUGACAAUCUGAUGGCAUGCAACGCAACCAAUUUUGCACUCGUUGAUGUAGAAUUUGGCGUUAAAAGGAAAAUGAUGGUUGCUCGUAUGCUCUCUGCUUAGACAUUGCUUUAUGUUAUGAAGUACCUACCAAGGCUGCGGCCAGAGAACUUGGCUAAUGCAAAGUUAUUCGACCAAGUGAAUGAAAUUGCACAAAGAAAGGGAUGCACCCCAUUGCAGUUAACCCUCGCCUGGGUACACCACUGGAGUGAUGACGUUUGCCCGAUUACCGGCACGAUCAAGAUCGAGAAUUUCAACCAGAACAUUGGAGCUCUGUCAGUGAAGCUUUCGCCAGAAGAGAUGGCCAAGCUCAAAUCGAUUGCUUAUACGGACAAUGUCAGGCGUGAGAAUUAAAACCACAUUUGAUACUAAAUUAUGCCUAGGUAGGAAUUCAAAACUCCACCUCCCGCUUUUCAUGUGGGAAGGUUGGCCCCACCUCGCGCUUAUGGAAAGAGUAAUCACGAAGACAUCACAAUAGUUCAAUUGACGUGAGCAGGUACGUCUUCCCUACAUGGUAAGGGUCGUCACUGGGCGUGCAAUUGACGUAAGCACGUGCGUCUUCACAGCCACUACCGCUCCCCUCCUACUCAUCGUAGCUUCUGCCACUACCCUCCUAUAAAUCUCGGCUCGCCCGACGACUUCGCCAUCGUCUCGGUGCAGUGCAGGGAACGAUCGAGCUCGAGCUAGACUACGGCAAUGGCGGCAUCGACGACGACGGUGAGGAGGAUCAAGCUGGGGUCGCAGGGCCUGGAGGUGUCGGCGCAGGGGCUGGGCUGCAUGAGCAUGUCCGCCUUCUACGGCCCUCCCAAGUCCGAGCCCGACAUGAUCGCCCUCAUCCACCACGCCGUCGGCUCCGGCGUCACCUUCCUCGACACCUCCGACUUCUACGGUCCUCACACCAACGAAAUCCUCCUCGGAAAGGUCGUUCUCUCAGUCUCUCUUUUGCCUCUGCAUGAAUUAUAUAUGCUUAUGGUUUUACGGAACUUAGCUUCAUCGAGCAGGAUGCUCUGAUCCUGCGCCUUGGUUUUCUGAUUUCGGGGUUGAUUUUGAGCAGGCACUGAAGGGAGGGGUGAGGCAGAAGGUGGAAUUGGCGACCAAGUUCGGAAUCAGAUUGGCGGACGGGAAGAGGGAGAUCCAGGGCGAUCCGGCGUACGUGAGGGCUGCUUGCGAGGCCAGCUUGAAGCGGCUCGACAUCGAUUGCAUCGACCUCUACUACCAGCACCGUAUCGACACUCGCGUCCCCAUUGAAGUCACUGUAUGGAUCCCUUAUCAAACUUUCACCUCGCUUGAGACUUUCUCUGAGCCAUACGAUGCAUCGUCAUGUUGUUACAAGUUUGUUGAAUUUUGUUAAAUGACACUUAAGUUCAGCUGAUAGCAGAGUUCAAGAUGCGGCACGGUGUUGUUCAAGGGUUGUGGAAUUUAGUAGUUUAGUGGCUUGAGUUUUCGUUUUGUGGGAAUCUUUUACAAGUUAAGGGUCAACAAGCAUGGAAAUUAUUCGAAAUCUUCCUUUGAGAUGAAAGUGCUCCGGGGUUCAUCCUGAAUUUAUAUACGGGAAUCACAUAUAAAGUUGUUCCUGGACUUUAUACGGAGACAUUUGAUUCUUGACAUAUUGUGAAAUAUGACAAGUACUUGGAAUACUUCUUUUAUUUGCUCUCUUCUGUGAGAGAUUCAAGAAAUCUACCUCCGUUAACUCAAUUCCUUGUGGGUUUUUUGUCGCAUUGAGAUGCAUGAUAAUUGAGGGAUCUAGACACAAAAAGCUAAUGACAAAAAUAAUUUUCUGGAUCUUAACAUGUAAGAUCUUGAUGUUGUUGUUCUGUCAUGUGAAUAUGCACAGAUCGGAGAGCUAAAGAAGCUCGUUGAAGAGGGUAAGAUAAAGUACAUCGGUUUAUCCGAGGCCUCUGCAUCAACAAUCAGAAGAGCACAUGCUGUUCAUCCCAUCACAGCAGUGCAAUUGGAGUGGUCGCUUUGGUCCAGAGAUGUGGAGGCGGACAUCGUUCCAACGUGCAGGUAGGAUAUCACUCCGUUAAUUGUUUAUGCAGCAACAACAGCUUCCUUCUGACUCUGCUUUUCCUUUAAAAUGUUGACUAGGGAGCUUGGCAUUGGAAUUGUUGCCUACAGUCCUUUAGGACGAGGAUUCUUUUCUGUUGGCUCCAAGUUGGCGGAGAAUUUCUCAAAGGAUGACUUCAGACAGGUCUGUUUCUGCUGGUCGACAUAAUUAGAUGCUCACAGUGACUGUCAUUCUCAUUGAAGUGCUGGAAACCUGUUCUUGUGGUAUAAAGAAAAGUUUCUGGAUGGGAUGAAUAAAACUUGGUGACACAAAUGCAUCACGUUCUUAUAUGUCUUCAAUCCAGCACUCGCCAGACAUACUACCUCUCUCGAUUCUAGAUAAAUGUAAAAUCACAAGUAAUGGCUUUAGUGAGCCUGAAAGAGGUAGGUUCCCGGAUUCUCAUUCUUUUGGGAAUGAAUACAUAUAGGUUUAUAUGUAAGUUGCUCUGUUUCCCAGCCUUCCCAACAUUUGCUUAUCACUAUCCUUUCCCCACUUUCCACCCACCCUUUUUCUCUCAUCUUUCUUCACAAGAUUAGCGAUAUUUCCUCGAAAUAACUGACGCCAGUAUCGGGCUCUGGCCUUCCGUCCUUUUUCAUUCUCAUCUUUCUUCACAAGAUAAACUAUAUCUUGACACAACCAUUUCUUGAGUGAGGACUCACGACACCCUUCUUAUGAGAGUUUUGGAUCAAGUUCCCAUCUGACAUAAAGCCAAUUGUGUAUUACUCCCUGCCAUUAGCGUUUGACUAGCGAUAGCGCUGGGCAAGUGAAGUAGCUAUUUUUCUUUGUAGCUAAAAGAGCUCUGCGUCUGAUAACAUUCUUCUACACAUCAUCUACAUUUCUGAUUUUUUAUUUUAUGUGUGACUAAUGGUAUCAUCACACGUACAAAACUUAGAUUGUCGAGUUUGUUUCUGUUUUCACAUCCUACAUCAAGCCCAUCAGCCUUGUGUGGUAGUUGCUAGAUCACUUCGCUUGACGUUUCUAAUGCUUAUGAUUUGGGACAUGAUAUUUUAAUCAUUUCAAGAUUAUUUAUAACUGAUCAUGCUUAUCCAGAUAGACAACGAUUGCACACUUCUAAAUGCUUAUUAUGUCAAGUAACAAGACAAUCUGAUGGCAUGCAAUGCAACCACUUUUGCACUUGUUGCUGUAGAAUUUAGCCUUAAAAGGAAAAUGAUAAUUGCAAUUGCUUUCUGCUGAGACAUUGCUCUAUGUUAUGCAGUAUCAUCCAAGGUUCCAGCCAGAGAACUUGGCUCACAACACGAAGUUAUUUGACCGAGUGAAUGAAAUUGCGCAAAGAAAGGGAUGCACCCCAUCUCAGUUAGCCCUGGCCUGGGUACACCACCAUGGUGACGACAUUUGCCCGAUUCCCGGCACAACCAAGAUCGAGAAUUUCAACCAGAACAUUGGAGCUCUGUCAGUGAAGCUUACACAGGAAGAGAUGGCCGAGCUUGAAUUGAUUGCUUCUGCGGACAAUGUCAAGGGUGGCAGGUAUGAUGGAAGCAUAUCUACAUGGGAAAACUCCGACACUCCACCCCUUUCUUCUUGGAAACCUGCCUAGAAGCGUGUCUGCUUCUGUUGCUGCAUCUUUGAUGUGCAGAGUUUGAGCAUUUGCCGCUGAAGUAAUUUGAGUUGAUGUUGUGUGGCUGUUAUAAGUAUGUGUAAUAAGAGAGUGACUGUUUUCAUUUUGUACAUGUGACAUUCACUAUGAGAAGAUUAUGGAUGUGUACUAACCUUACUGGGGAAAGAUCACUCGAUAAACACGAGAGCGAGUUGAAUAUGAACUGAGCCUGCCUUGUCGACUUUAUGGGGUGACUUUUAGAAUCAAUUGGGAUUUUGAAGAAUUCAAACUCAGUCGUACAUACCGCUGGAAAUAUGGCUUCGAAAUUGGGUAGAACAAUGAAAUCGGAUCGAGUAAAAUAACUCGGACUUUGAGGCGCGAUAUCACUUUCUUUAAGGAUUUAUUUACCCCACAACGUUGCUAAUGGUCACCAGCAAAAAUCCUCCAGGAUACAACAAAGUCUCGGAUGAGAAUACUAGAUAGCAAUUCAAGUAUUUCUCCAGGGUCUCUCUAAGAAACAAUCGAAAAAUUGGAUGCUGUUUUUCAGAAAGGAAUACUCGAAAAUGACACUCUUUUUCUUUCCGAAAAUGAUAGAUAUAUAUAUGAAACAGUCUUGCNNNNNNNNNNNNNNNNNNNNNNNNNNNNNNNNNNNNNNNNNNNNNNNNNNNNNNNNNNNNNNNNNNNNNNNNNNNNNNNNNNNNNNNNNNNNNNNNNNNNUUUUUUUUUUUUAUUUCUUAUUUUUGUUCCAAAGUUGCUCUCACAAUAAAAAAAAAAAAGACCAGAAUAAAAGUAUAAACAAAUGAGUUUCUGUUCUUUUUUGGUUCUCUAGAACAAAAUAAUAAAAAUUUAUAUUUCGGGAAAAAAAAUAAUUUUAAAUGAACACACCCUAAGAUAUCUUUUGUAUUCCGGGGAAGUAGUUCAAUUGACGUGAGCCCGUGCGUCUUCCCUACAUGGGAAGGGUCGUCGCUGGGUCUCAUCUGACCUAAGCAAGCGCGUCUUCACAGCUAUUACCGCUCCCCUCCUACACUUCGUAGCUACCGCCACUCCCCUCCUAUAAAUCUCGGCUCGCCCGACGCCUUCGCCAUCGUCUCGGUGCAGUGCAGGGAACGAGCGAGCUCGAGCUAGACGACGGCAAUGGCGGCUUCGACGACGACGGUGAGGAGGAUCAAGCUGGGGUCGCAGGGCCUCGAGGUGUCGGCGCAGGGGCUGGGCUGCAUGAGCAUGUCCGCCUUCUACGGCCCUCCCAAGUCCGAGCCCGACAUGAUCGCCCUCAUCCACCACGCCGUCGGCUCCGGCGUCACCUUCCUCGACACCUCCGACGUCUACGGUCCUCACACCAACGAAAUCCUCCUCGGAAAGGUCGUUCUCUCAGUCUCUGUUUUGCGUCCGCAUGAAUUAUAUGUGCUUAUAGUGUUACGGAAUUUGGCUUCAUCGAGCAGAGUGCUCUGAUCCCGCGCCUUGGUUUUCUGAUUUCGGGGUUGAUUUUGAGCAGGCACUGAAGGGAGGGGUGAGGCAGAAGGUGGAAUUGGCGACCAAGUUCGGAAUCAGCUUCGCGGACGGGAAGAGGGAGGUCCGGGGCGAUCCGGCGUACGUGAGGGCGGCUUGCGAGGCCAGCUUGAAGCGGCUUGACAUCGAUUGCAUCGACCUCUACUACCAACAUCGCAUCGACACUCGCGUCCCCAUCGAAGUCACUGUAUGGAUCCCCCAUCAAACUUUCACCUCGCUUGAGACUUUCUCCGAGCCAUAUGAUUAGUUGCUAAGUUAGAUUGGUGUUGAUGAUGCAUCGUCAUGUUGUUACAAGUUUGUUGAAAUUUGUUAAAUGACACUUAAGUUCGGCUGAUAGCAGAGUUCAAGAUGCGGCACGUUGUUGUUCAAGGGGUUGUGGAAUUUAGUAGUUUAGUGGCUUGAGUUUUCGUUUUGUGGGCAUCUUUUACAAGUUAAGGGUCAACAAGCAUGAAAAUUAUUCAAAAUCUUCCUUUGAGAUGAAAGUGCUCCAGGGUUCAUCCAGAAUUUAUAUACGGGAAUCACAUAUAAAGUUGUUCCUGGACUUUAUGUGGAGACAUUUGAUUCUUAACAUAUUGUGAAAUAUGUCGAGUACUUGGAAUACUUAUUUUAUUUGCUCUCUUCUGUGAGAGAUUCAAGAAAUCUACCUCCGUUAACUCAAUACCUUGUGACUUUUUUGUCGCAUUGAGAUGCAUGAUAAUAGAGGGAUCUAGACGCAUAAAAAGCUAAUGACAUGCAUAAUUUUCUGGAUCUUAACAUGUAAGAUCUUGAUGUUGUUGUUCUGUCAUGUGAAUAUGCACAGAUCGGAGAGCUAAAGAAGCUCGUUGAAGAAGGUAAGAUAAAGUACAUCGGUUUAUCCGAGGCCUCUGCAUCAACAAUCAGAAGAGCACAUGCUGUUCAUCCCAUCACAGCAGUGCAAUUGGAGUGGUCGCUUUGGUCAAGAGAUGUGGAGGCAGAGAUCGUUCCAACGUGCAGGUAGGAUAUCACUCUGUUAAUUGUUUAUGCAGCAACAACAGCUUCCUUCUGACUCUGCUUUUCCUUUAAAAUGCUGACUAGGGAGCUUGGCAUUGGAAUUGUUGCCUACAGUCCUUUAGGACGAGGAUUCUUUUCUGUUGGCUCCAAGUUGGUGGAGAAUAUCUCUAAGGAUGACUUCAGACAGGUCUGUUCCUGCUUGUCAACAUAAUUAGAUGCUUACAUCAACUGUCAUUCUUAUUGAAGUGCUGGAAACCUGUUCUUGUGGUAUAAAGAAAAAGUAUCUGGAUGGGAUGAAUAAAACUUGGUGACACGAAUGCUUUGUGUUCUUAUAUGUCUUUAAUCCAGCACUUGCCAGACAUCCCACCUCUCUUGAUUCUAGAUAAAUGUAAAAUCACAAGUAAUGGCUUUAAUGAGCCUGAAAGAGGCAGUUUUCUGGAUUCUCGUGCUUUUGGGAAUGAAUACAUAUAGGUUUAUUUGUAAGUUGCUCUGUUUCCCAGCCUUCCCACCAUUUGCUAAUCACUAUCCUCUCCCCACUUUCCACCCACCCUUUUUCUCUCAUCUUUCUUCACAAGAUUAGCGAUAUUUCCUCAAAAUAGCUGACGCCAGUAGCGGGCUUUGGCCCUCCGUCCUUUUUCAUUCUCAUCUUUCUUCACAAGAUAAACUAUAUCUUGACACAACCAUUUCUUGAGUAAGGACUCCUAGCACCCUUCUUAUGAGAGUUUUGGAUCAAGUUCCCAUCUGACAUAAAGCCAAUUGAGUAUUACUCCCCGCCAUUAGCAUUUGACUAGCGAUAGUGCUGGGCAAGUGAAGUAGCUAUUUUUCUUUGUAGCUAAAAGAGCUCUGCGUCUGAUAACAUUCUUCUACACAUCAUCUACAUUUCUGAUAUUUAUUUUAUGUGUGACUAAUGGUAUCAUCACACAUACAAAACUUAGAUUGUCGAGUUUGUUUCUGUUUUCACAUCCUACAUCAAACCCAUCAGCCUUGUGUGGUAGUUUCUAGAUCACUUCGCUUGACGUUUCUAAUGCUUAUGAUUUGGGACAAGAUAUUUUAAUCAUGUCAAGAUAAUUUAUAACUGAUCAUGCUUUUCCAGAUACACAACGAUUGCGCACUUCUAAUGCUUAUUAUGUCAAGUAACAAGACAAUCCGAUGGCAUGCAAUGCAACCACUUUUGCACUCGUUGCUGUAGAAUCUAGCCUUAAAAGGAAAAUGAUAAUUGCUCAUAUGCUCUCUGCUGAGACAUUGCUCUAUGUUAUGCAGUAUCUACCAAGGUUCCGGCCAGAGAACUUGGCUCACAACACGAAGUUAUUUGACCGAGUGAAUGAAAUUGCGCAAAGAAAGGGAUGCACCACAUCGCAGUUAGCCCUGGCCUGGGUAUACCACCAGCGUGAUGAUGUUUGCCCAAUUCCCGGCACGACCAAGAUCGAGAAUUUCAACCAGAACACUGGAGCUAUGUCAGUGAAGCUUACACCGGAAGAGAUGGCCGAGCUUGAAUCGAUUGCUUCUGCGGACAAUGUCAAGGGUGGCAGGUACGAUGGAAGCAUGUCUACAUGGGAAAACUCCGACACUCCACCCCUUUCUUCUUGGAAACCUGCCUAGAAGCGUGUCUGCUUCUGUUGCUGCAUCUUUGAUGUGCAGAGUUUGAGCAUUUGCCGCUGAAGUAAUUUGAGUUUAUGUUAUGUGGCUGUUAUAAGUACGUGUAAUAAGAGAGUGACUGUUUUCAUUUUGUACAUGUGAUAUUCACUAUGAGAAGAUUAUGGAUGUGUACUAACCUUACUGGGGAAAGAGCACUCGAUAAACACGAGAGCGAGUUGAAUACGAACUGAGCCCGCCGUGCCGACUUUAUUGGGGUGACUUUUAGAAACUGAGAAAUCGGGAUUUUGAAGAAUUCAAACUCAGUCGUACAUACUAGAGUGACGCUUUAUUCUCCUCCAACCAUGAGUUCAAUACUAAAACCGUGUGCAACAUGCUCUUAAGACUGGAUGCCACACAUAGAUACAAAGCUUCGCUUUGUGUUUGGUUUGGUAGCGAAGUUAAGGAACAGUAAAAUGUUACCGGAUGUUCUCGCGAAAACGAAGUUGGGGUUAAAAUGCUGGCGGGGUUGAUAUGAGUGUCAGAGAAAUCGAAGGUUUCUUGUUCAAGUUUUACCACGUACGGUUCAUGAGCUUUUAUGUAGCUCGAUACCUUCGCUUAUGCGUCUGCAUUAUUAUAAAACGGUCGGAGAUAUUGUGCAAGUUUCCUAAAAUUAAAAAUGACACUUCUAUUGUUUUUUAUUUGGAGUUAGAGUGAAGCAAUAUUGUUUUGUUUUGGUUUAAGAAAAUAACGCAAAUAGUUAUUGAACUUUGGUCCAAUGUGUUAUGUUCUUACUGAACUUUUAACUUAUUUAAUAUGGUUGUCGAACUUUUUGUACAUGUUUAAUUUAAAUCCUAGGCUAGAUAAAUCCAAUGAUGCUGUGUUUGGUCGUUCAAACAUUGUUGCUGAUGCAGCCCGCAUUGAAGACCAGCUCUCUUGAUCAAGAAGAUCGGCCCACAUGCAAGCUCGAUGAAUCCUCUUAUCAAUGAAGUUGUCGAUUGUCGAUGAAGUUCGAUGAAGUUGUCGAUUCAACCGAGAAGCCAUAUUGAUAUCUUGAGUCCAUCCUGGAAGCUUGAAAGAAAACACCUUGUCGAUCUGUAUCGACAAAGAUAUGAUUGUUCUCCUAAGCUUGCAUAGUAAAUUUCUGUUCGUCUUAUUUCCUGUGUGCGAGUCACUCUCCCGAUCCUACCGUUUGAGAAAGCUUAACCUUGGCUUGCAUCAUUUUGGUAUUAGAGCUUUGGAGGAGAGGACAAUGCCUCCAAGACAAGCUAGAUGUCGUGGUGGCAGAACCAUUCCCCUCGAUGAAGUGCACACACUCGCUGAGAAUUUGCAACAAUGUAUGCAACAACAAAUUGACGAAUUGACGCUAGAAGUUUAGCGUUUGAGGGCUGAAGCAAAUAAUUCUCCACCUCGUUCCAGGACUGAAGAUUCCUAUGGUGACUCUUCCUCUUUGGAGAGUGUUCAAUCUAUUCACGGUUAGAGGAAUGUUUGACAUCAUUUACAACAUGUUCGUGAGCCAGAUUGGGAAAAGGAAGUCAUGUUCCAGAAUUUACAUGUACUAAGUCUCCUGAUGAAAUUGUUGAUUGGCUGACACUUGUGAAUGAGGUAUUUGAGCAUCGAAAUGUUCCGGAGAAUCGUCAAGUUGGGAUCAUUGCUAUGUGAUUCCAAGGCAAGGCAAUUGCUGGUGGAGACAUGAAAAACAAACUUGCCAAGCAGUUGGCAAAGCACUAAUCACUUUGUGGAGAAAGAUGGAGGGCAAGAUUCAAAAAUAUUUUCUUCCCAUAGGAUAUAAGAGAGAGCUCUACCAACGGUACCAAAAUCUAAAACAAGGUAAACAAACGGUGGAUCAAUACACCAAUGAAUUCAAUGUGUUGGUGAUUUGUAACAAUAUCUAGGACUCGGAGGAGGUGCUUGUGAACAAAUACUUGAACGGUCUUCAAUUUUACAUUCAAGAUGCCUUGGAAGUCCUCGACAUUUGGGACUUAGGACAUGCACACCAACGGGCACUCAAAAUGGAGCGCUCUCGUUCUUGGAGAUAGCAAUCAAUUACCAUGACAAGUCGGGCCACUAAGAGUACCACUAGCAUUGCUAAAGUUGUUGAGGGUACAAUGCAAUAUGCUAGUAAGCCUUCUACGCAACCCCAUGUUUCGAAGCAACCUGCUAUGUUCAAAAUAUGUUGCUAUUCUUGUGGGGAGUUGGGUCAUCAUGCUAGCAAUUGUCGAAUCAAUAAGAGUCAACCUAUCGGUAAAGCCUUCUUAGUGGAUAAUGAUUCUGAUGAGAAUAUUGAGGAUCCACUUGAAGAGGAGUUGAACAAUGAUGAAGAAGCUGUGCAUGAUGAACAAAUAGUGCAUGUUGACACUAGCGAACUUCUUACGGUGAGGAAAUUUUUUUUACUCCUUGAGAUGACACUGGAGAUAGAUGGCUGCGUACCAAUAUUUUUCAUUCUGCUUGCACAAUCAUGGGAAAGGUGUGUCAAUUAAUUAUUGACUAUGGUUGUUGUGAGUAUAUAAUUUUUGAAGUAGUGGCUAACAAGCUGGAGUUGGAAUUAAAGACGCACCCUACGCCUUAUAAAAUGUUGUGGUUGAAGAAAGGCGCUGAGGUAACUAUUUCAAAAUGAUGCCUUGUUAAUCUGUCCAUUGGUUUUGUUUAUAAUGACAAGAUAUGGUGUGAUGUUCUGCCGAUAGAUGCUAGUCACAGUAUUCUUGGUCGACUGUGGCAAUUCGAUAGGAGGACUAUGCAUGAUGGUUAUCGAAAUACAUAUUCUUUUGAAUUUGGAGGCAAGAAGAUUAUGUUGGCACCUAGUAGGGAACCUUGAGAAUUCCUUCUCCCCUACGUUGUUUACAAUGAAGGAUAUGAACGAUGCUUUGAAAGGAGUUUGUAUCUUGUAUAUUUUGCUUAAUAAAACUAGUGAGAAGAAUGAAGUUGCCUCUAUCAUGCCUCAUUGAGUUCAACCUCUUUUGGAAGAGUUCAAGGAUGUCCUCUCGAUGGACUUACCCGAUGGUCUCCCUCCUAUUAGAGAUAUUCAGCAUCAAACCGACUUGAUGCCUGGAGCCUCUUUGUCGACUCUCGCUCAUUACCGAAUGAGUUUGACCGAACAUGAGGAAUUGCAUCAACAAGUUAUGGAGCUAUUGAAUAAGGGUUUUAUAAGGGAGAGCCUCAGUUCGUGUGCUGUUCCAGCUCUUUUAGUGCCUAAGAAAAAUGGUACUUGGAGGAUGUGUGUCGACAAUAGAGCGAUCAACAAGAUCACCAUCAAGUAUUGAUUUUCUAUUCCUCGCCUUGAUGAUCUCUUAGAUCAACUUUCUGGUGCAAUUAUAUUCUCGAAGCUAGAUUUGAAGAGUGGAUACCAUCGAAUUAGAAUCAAACUCGAAGAUGAAUGGAAGACAGCAUUCAAAAAUAAAGUUGGGCUACAUGAGUGGCUAGUCAUGCCAUUUGGAUUGUCGAAUGCACCAUUGACAUUCAUGAGGUUCAUGACUCAGGUGUUGAAGCCUUUUCUGGGAAAGUUUAUUGUGGUUUAUUUUGAUGAUAUCUUGAUUUUUAGCAAGUCUACUGAUGAGCACUUGUAGCAUCUUCAAGAAGUAUUAUGUGUGUUGAGGCAGGAAUGAUUGUAUGAGGCUCUCAACAAGUGCUAUUUUAUGGUACCACAAAUCCUUUUCUUGGGGUUAUAUAUUUCAAAGAAUGGCAUUUCGGUGGAUGAUUCUAAGAUCAAGGUGAUUCGAGAAUGGCCAACUCCAACAAAUGUGCAUGAAGUGCAACGUUUUCUUGGUCUCGCUUCAUUUUAUCGACAGUUUAUUGCGCAUUUUAGCACCACUGCAGCCCCACUCACUUCUUGCAUGAAGAAGGGAGAGAAAGCCCAACCUUGGCUUGCAUCAGUUGCUCUAUGGGAUGAUGAUAGGAUAAAAAUCCCAUCUAUUAUUUCUUGACGUCUGGAUACAGCAUGAUUCAAAUAAAUAUUUUUUAAAUGAGUGUUUGAUUUGUAUAAUUAAAAUUAAAAUUAAACCAUGGAAGUCGUAAAUACUAUUCAUCCUUUCACAAUCUUCAUCCAUAUCAAACACCCCCGUUCCAUGUGACUUCAAGGACUCUCGCUCCUUCUGCAACACCCCUUUCGCUGCCCUUGAUCAACUUGAUGGAUUACGCUCGCUCUACCUUUGACUUCGCCACAUUGAGAGGCCCUUGGGUUUGAGUUCUCCGCUAGUCUAGCCAUCUUUACUUUCAACGCUUUUCCUGCGAUGAAUCCAUCCCCUUCGACGAGUGCGAAUACUGCGUCGAUUCCCUGUUACCGUGCCCCGACUUGUUCAGUCACUUCAACAGCUUCCCCCGAGACAGCGUGCGGAUCCGGUUUGUGAGUGGUAGCACGAUCGGUACUAGUUGCUCCGAGUGACGUGGUUGAGGAGCUCUAUCACCUUGGCUGCCGCCUCUUUCGGAUCAUCUUCUUCACAGAGGAGGUGUCCAGCUUUGAUCGGGAUCACAAAUUUCCCUACUAAAAUGAAGUUGAGUGACACAAGAAAGAGGUAGGGCUGACGAGCUCCGCGAUACUCAUGCUCAUGCUCUAAUUUUGUGGUGGUCAUUUUAGCGAGACAAAUUGGAACAAGAGAGAGAUGAUGGUGACACUGGUCAAAAGCGCCCCGGGGGGUGGUCAGUUUUUCAAAUUUCACAUAUUUUAUCUGGCUUUAUAUACUUUCUAGAUGUGAUUUUUUAUCCGGACUAUAUCCUAAUUUCACAUUACUCUAGACACCAUAUAGGAUUAAACUUAUCAUAUUAGAGUUCUAUCCAGCCCUUCAAAUGCAGUCUUAUGAGAUAGAAUGCAAUGAUAUAAUCUGUGAACUAAAUUUAAACAUUUAUUAAAAGUUUACGAACGAAAUUUCACAUUUUGAUUGUUAAGAUGCAUGAGUGAGUUAUGUUAAAAUAAUCACAUAAUAUAUUGAUAGCUUUAAAAAUGGGCCUUCUCUUGGUGAUGACGUUGAUCCAUAUGGAGAAAUUAAUGAGAGGGUUUAUUUGGCCUAACUAAAUGGGAGGCUAUGGGCUCGUUUGAUAACGUUUCUGUUCAAAAAUUGUUCCAGGGAAUAGAAAUAAAAAAAAAAGUGUUUCUGUUCCGGGGAACAAUUUUUGACCAAAAACACUCGUUUGGUAAACUUGUUCUGGGAACAAUUCUUUUUUUGUUUCUUUUAAUUUUUUAAUAUUUUUAUUUUAUUUUUAUUUUUUUCCUUUCUUUUUUCUUUUUUCUUUUUUUCUUCUUUUGGCGGGCGACCGGCUGACGGGGGCCGACAGCCUCGCCCAGCCACGGCGAGGCCAAGCCUUGCCGGUGCGGGCGAGGCUGAGCCUCGCCUUGGCUGGGUGAGCUUGGCCUCGCCCAGAUCUAGUGAGGCCGAGCCUUGUUGGCCACUGGGCAAGCUCGGCCUCAUCAGCCACUGGGCGAGCUCGCCCAGCCAAGGCGAGGCCGAGCCUCGCCCAACUACAGCCAGGCUCGGCCUCGCUGGGGGCCGGCGACGCUCCGGCGAGGUCGUCGGCCCUCGACGGCGUCGCUGACCCUCGACGGCCGGUCGCCGGCCAUGGCCGAGGCCAGCAAUCGGCCAAAGAAAAAAGAAAGAAAAAAGAAGAAGAAAAGAAAAAGAAAAAAGAGAAAAGUGUUAAAAAAAUUUGUUUCAGAAACAAGAAACAACUUUUUUUUUGUUUUUUGUUUCUGUUCCAGAUGUGUUUUUGGGAACAAAAAAAAUAGUUUUGGAACAAAAACGCACACAAACGCGUUUCUGUUCCCUUUUUGUUCUCAGGAAAAAAAAACAGAAAAAUUGUUCAAAAACAUAAAAAAGAAACAACAACAAAUGCAGCCUAUAUCAAUGGGAGGUUUUUCAUUGUAACAUUCCCUUGUGCUUGGAAUUUGUUUUUUAGUAAAGGAUUUUAUUAGCAUAAUAAUAGUCUUUGGAUUAUUAUGUGAAUAACAAUUUAUUGUGAGUCACAAUUUUUUUUUUAAAGUAAUGAACCCCAUAAUAAUUUCAAUUAUUUGUUACUUUAUUUUCGUAGUUGUUAGAAAAAUAGAAAGCUUGGAAUUUUGGGAGAAUUGUAUAUUGCUUUUCUAUAUUCCUUUCAAUAUGUAAUUACAAUCUAUUUAUAAUACAGAGAGUCUAAAAUAAUAAAGGAAUAAAAAUAUACACAAUAUCCCAAAGAUGUACAUAAAAUAUUCCCUAUCAAUUAAGAUCAAUCGACAUCAGCAACGGUAUCUUCAACACUCCCCCUCAAGCUCGGCGGUUUAUACACAUCGAAGACGCCUAGCUUGUUUAAUAGAUACAAAUGUUGCCUCUGACAUAAAGCCUUGGUAAAAAUGUCUGCAGGUUGCUCUGUUGUUCUUAUCUCUUUUGUUCUAAUCACCCCACUUUGGAUCUUGUCUCGAAUGAAGUGACAAUCAACCUCUAUAUGUUUUGUCCUUUCAUGAAAUACUGGGUUCAUUGCAAGCUUAAUUGCAGCAUCAUUAUCACAAAAUAGGACAAUGGGCUCUCUUAUCUGUACACCAAGGUCUUGAAGGAGGCCUCUUAUCUAGACUAUCUCACAGCUAGUCUUCGCCAUUGCUCGGUAUUCUGCCUCAGCGGAUGAUAAAGAUACGGUUGACUGUUUCUUUGUCUUCCAUGAAAUUAGAGAAUCCCCUAAUUUUAUACAGAAUCCUAUGACUGAUCUUCUACUCAUGGGACAAGUAGCGUAAUUUGUGUCACAAUAUGCUGUCAUCUCCAAAUUGUUGUCUCGAGACAACAAUAUUCCCAAUCCAGGACACCCUUUUAAGUAUUUUAUGACUUUCAGUGCCGCAUUCAUGUGAGACUGUUUCGGAGCAUGCAUAAACUGGCUAAGAAUCUGAACUGCAUAAGAAAUGUCUGGCCUGGUCAUGGUCAAAUAAAUAAGCUUUCCAACAAGUCUUUGAUAAGCAGAAGGAUCUUUAAGCAAAGGAUCCUUGUUUACAGGUGACAACCCUUUGUCAUAUUCAGCUGUCGUUAAUCUGAUAUUCUGAUCAAUUGGAAUAACAGCCGGUCUAGAUCCUAACAAACCGGCUUCUGACACAAUUUCUAAGACAAAUUUCCGUUGGCUAAGACAAAUGCCCUUAUUUGACCGUGCAAUUUCUAUCCCAAGAAAGUAUUUGGGAGAACCCAAAUCCUUAAUAUGAAAUGUAGAAUGCAAAUACUCAUUGAAUUUCUCAAUGGCAGGCGCAUCGUUUCCCAUAAUGAGUAUAUCGUCAACAUAUAUAAGUAAAUAGAUUGACGACAUACCUUGUUUCCAUGUGAAUAAAGCAUAGUCAUGCUUAGAUUGCUGGAAUUUUGCAGUUGUAAGUGCACCGGUGAACUUGGCGUACCAUUGACGAGAAGCUUGCUUGAGUCCAUAUAGGGAUUUCUGAAGACGGCACACACUCCCCUCCCCCUGUCUGCGAAAUCCCGGUGGAAUAUCCAUAUAAAUCUCUUCUUCAAGAUCUCCAUGUAAAAAAGCAUUGUGAACGUCCAUUUGAUGAAGGGGCCAGUCACGGAUGGCAGCAAUGGAAAGAAAAGACCGUAUGGUGACUUCUUUGGCAACUGGAGAGAAAGUUUCCGUAUAGUCAAAGCCUUCCUUCUAUGUGAAUCCCUUCGCAACCAAUCUGGCCUUGUAAUGUUCAAUGGAUCCAUCUGCUUUAUAUUUGAUAUUGUAUACCCAUUUGCAUCCUAUGGAUCGACGAUGGGGAGGUAGACGAACAAUAUCCCAAGUCUCAUUUUCGAUGAGAGCUUGUAACUCAUCUUUCAUAGCCUGUUGCCAACGAGGAUCCUUGGCAGCCUCAUCAUAAGAGGAAGGUUCCUGCUGUGCAAAAAUUCUACUAACAUAGCAUAUAUGUUCAAGAGAGAGAUUAGCAAAACUGACAUAAGAGGAGAUGGGGUAUUGUGUACCACGCCUUUUUGACGAUGAACAAACGUAAUCCGCUGUCCAUGUUGGUGGUCGGACUGUGCGUCUUGAUCGCCGAAGAUUAGUUGGUUCAGAUGGAACAUCAGUUUGUGAGGCUGCAGAGACAUCAUCCGCCGGAAUAUUUGCUUGCAAAAAAUCAGGUCCUUCAAGUAUACUUGAUGAAGGAAGACUGGAAAUUGCAUUGUCCCCAUCUGAGCUGAUAGGUGCAUUGAUACUUGAGGAUGCUAUAGGAGAUAUCAUUUGUGGAAGCAUCAUCAUUGAUCCUUGUGGAGGAUCGUCUUCAUGCAGAAAGGGACGAGAAGAUGUCAGGGGAUCAUCAUGCUGAUAUGAUGGUAGCCUAUCCUUGAAAGGGAAGACAUCUUCAUGAAAUGUGACAUCUCUGCUGACAAAGAAUCUGCCAGUAGAUGGAUCAAGAACCAAGUAUCCUUUUUGAAGGGUAGAAUAUCCCAUAAAUACCGCAAGAAAGGCACGNNNNNNNNNNNNNNNNNNNNNNNNNNNNNNNNNNNNNNNNNNNNNNNNNNNNNNNNNNNNNNNNNNNNNNNNNNNNNNNNNNNNNNNNNNNNNNNNNNNNGGACGUUUUCCAAACAAUGACUCGAAUGGAGUCUUUCCACUCAAAAUUCGAGAUGGCAUUCUAUUGAUCAGGCAUGCUGCUGUGACCACACAGUCUCCCCAAAAAAUUUUAGGAAUUGAAGCUUGAUACUUAAGAGCUCGAGCGACUUCUAACAAAUGACGGUGUUUCCUUUCUACAAUCCCAUUUUGUUGGGGAGUAUAAACACAAGAGCUUUCAUGAAGAAUGCCAUUGGAAAUGAACAAUGAAGAACAUUCAUGAUUAAAGAAUUCUCGUGCAUUGUCAGUACGAACCCGUUGUACGGAUUUGUUAAAUUGAUUUUUGAUCAGGACAAUGAAAUUUUUGAGAUGUGAAAGAACUUGGGCUUUGGAUUGCAUAAGAAAAACCCAAGUUGCUUGAGUAUGAUCAUCUACAAUAGUAAGAAAGAAGCGUGACCCAUCACGAUGAGAGGUGUGAUAUGGGCCCCAAAUGUCUAUGUGCAAUAGAGAGAAGGCUCUAGUAGCACGCGAUGCACUUUGUGGAAAAGACAUUAUAGACUGUUUAGCUAAUGGGCAUAUAGGACACUUAGGAUGAGGAAAAAUGGCGCUGUGGCCUAGACGCUGAUGAGAUAAAAAAGGUAUCUUUAUUAUGAUUGGCAUUACAUAAGAUGCUCUUAUUGAAUGAAAAAUUCUUUGGAAAUGCCGUCCAGAAAUAAAGUCCCUCGAAAUUCCUACCUGAGCCCAUCAGUGUCCUAGUCAAAGGGGCCUGGAAGAGACAAGUGUCAAAAUCGAAAAUGACCUGACAGAAAUUGUCUUGACAAAUCUUGGAUACAUAAAUGAGAUUGAACUGAAAAUUCAGAAUGAAGAGGACAUUUUUUGGUGUGAUGGAAGAGCUCAGUUUAACAUCCCCAAUUUUAUCUACUGAAAUAUCACUACCAUUUGGGAGGCGAACGGAAGUGUGAUUUGAGGAUUUUUCUAAUUUAGAGAAGAACCGUUCAUCACAGACUAUAUGGUCACUAGCACCUGAAUCAAUAAUCCAUGCGUUGCUCGAAAUAUUGCAGUUCAAACAAUGAGAAAUACCUGCAUAGCUAGGCAUCUUUUCUUGAAUGCCCAUCUGACUUAAGGUCCUCAUGAUUUGUUGGAGUUGGUCAUUGCUGAUGGGUUGAUUUACCUUAGCAUUUGUUGCUAUAGAAUUUCCAAUAGAAAAUUCUCAUUCCUUCUUCUCCCCUGGUCUUCCAUGCAAUUUCCAACAAUUUUCUUUGGUAUGAUAAGGUUUUUUGCAAUAAUCACAAAAUUUACCUUUCCAUUUGUUUGAAUUAUUUCUGGUCGAAGACGUGGCAAAAUUUGGGCCGUUGGAUCGCUUUAAAACGGACGCUGAUGGUCCGUUCGAUCGCGGUGCUGCAAGGGCGAAAUUUGAGCCGUCCGAUCGCGCAAAAGAACCUCCACUGUCCGAUCGCGCAAAAGAACCUCCACCGUCGGAUCCGAAGAUUGGAUCUCGGCCAUUCAAUCCGCGCGAGCUGCCCGAGCCGUCCGAUCUCCCGAAAUGAUCCUGGCCGCCCAUUUGAGACAUAUAAAAAACCUCAUCUUCUUCCUUCCGAAACCCUAGUGUUCCUGCCCUUUUCGAAAAACCUCCAUGGUCGGACCUUGAAGACCCGAGCCGCUGCUCCGACGAAGCCUUGGCCGCGAGAACGACGCGCUCGCCACUCUUCACAUACUCGGACGACGCCAGCUUCUGGGAUUCUUCUUGAACCGCAAGCUGGUAUAGGACNNNNNNNNNNNNNNNNNNNNNNNNNNNNNNNNNNNNNNNNNNNNNNNNNNNNNNNNNNNNNNNNNNNNNNNNNNNNNNNNNNNNNNNNNNNNNNNNNNNNNNNNNNNNNNNNNNNNNNNNNNNNNNNNNNNNNNNNNNNNNNNNNNNNNNNNNNNNNNNNNNNNNNNNNNNNNNNNNNNNNNNNNNNNNNNNNNNNNNNNNNNNNNNNNNNNNNNNNNNNNNNNNNNNNNNNNNNNNNNNNNNNNNNNNNNNNCACUCUGACCCGGGAAGGACCAGUUCGCCCCAUAUCCGGACCCGCUCCAGGUAUGUGAGAUGAGCUUUCCUUUAGCCCACCAAUCCUUCCGGGGUUGAUUUGAGGUGAAUUCUGUGUCGAAUCUCCUUGAUUUGGUUGGAUUGAUACAGGUACCCACUGAACGUAUGGUCUUGUGAGGGGAUUUCCAGGAUUAAAUCCUAUGUUGAGCUGUGCAGGCUGCACGAGGCUUGUUUGACUUUCUGAUGGAUUCAUCUGUCGUUUUGUAGGGAUGACUUGUGGAUUUCCCUCAAUCCCCACAGAAACGCCGGAAGUUGAAUCCUCAGUCUUUGACAUGAUUUCUCCCUAAGAAGGCGUUGCGGAAGCUAGGCCAAGGCGGGAGGCUCUGAUACCAUGUCAGAAAAAUAGAAAGCUUGGAAUUUUGGGAGAAUUGUAUAUUGCUUUUCUAUAUUCCUUUCAAUAUGUAAUUACGAUCUAUUUAUAAUACAGAGAGUCUAAAAUAAUAAAGGAAUAAAAAUAUACACAAUAUCCCAAAAGAUGUACAUAAAAUAUUCCCUAUCAAUUAAGAUCAAUCGACAUCAGCAACGGUAUCUUCAACAGUAGUAACUGUUGUUUUCAAUUAAGUUUGCAUCGGAGAAGAGAUUAUUUUGUUUUGCUACGCUUGUCGGAUAUUGCGCAGGAUAUUGUCAUUUUCUUAGCACUAGCAACGUUGCGUUCAGACAAGGCGGCAUGGAAUUAUUUGCUUAGCUGCACAUCGCACGACCAUACAUUCAUGGACUGUUCCUCAGGAAAGCAUAUAGACAUGUGGCAGAUGCAGAACAUUUCACGAGAUUAAAAAAAAAAGAAAAUAAUUUUUAAAAAACAAUACUUUCGACUUCAAAACGUGCCAAUCGAACGCCUGCUAGUCCCGCCUAUAAAGCUCGGCUCACCCAACGGCUUCGUUGUCGUCUCGAACUGUCCAUUCUCCAUUCUCUGUUCUUGCAUCGACCUCGAGCUAGAGGAUGGCCCGCAAUGGCGUCGUCAGACGGUGAGGAGGAUCAAGUUGGGGUCGUAGGGUCUCAAGGUCUCGGCGCAGGGGCUGGGCUGCAUGGGCAUGUCUACUUCGCCGGCCCUCCCAAGCCCAACCCCGACACGAUCGAGCUUGUCCACCACGCCGUUGAAUCUGGCGUUGCCUUCCUCGACACCUCCGACAUCUAUGGCCUUAACGCCAAGGAAGUCCUCCUUGGAAAGGUCGGUAUUUAUUUUGUAGAUAUAAUUGAAGAUCUUGAUCGUGACGCCAAUCCUAAUUGCGGACUAAUUGANNNNNNNNNNNNNNNNNNNNNNNNNNNNNNNNNNNNNNNNNNNNNNNNNNNNNNNNNNNNNNNNNNNNNNNNNNNNNNNNNNNNNNNNNNNNNNNNNNNNNNNNNNNNNNNNNNNNNNNNNNNNNNNNNNNNNNNNNNNNNNNNNNNNNNNNNNNNNNNNNNNNNNNNNNNNNNNNNNNNNNNNNNNNNNNNNNNNNNNNNNNNNNNNNNNNNNNNNNNNNNNNNNNNNNNNNNNNNNNNNNNNNNNNNNNNNNNNNNNNNNNNNNNNNNNNNNNNNNNNNNNNNNNNNNNNNNNNNNNNNNNNNNNNNNNNNNNNNNNNNNNNNNNNNNNNNNNNNNNNNNNNNNNNNNNNNNNNNNNNNNNNNNNNNNNNNNNNNNNNNNNNNNNNNNNNNNNNNNNNNNNNNNNNNNNNNNNNNNNNNNNNNNNNNNNNNNNNNNNNNNNNNNNNNNNNNNNNNNNNNNNNNNNNNNNNNNNNNNNNNNNNNNNNNNNNNNNNNNNNNNNNNNNNNNNNNNNNNNNNNNNNNNNNNNNNNNNNNNNNNNNNNNNNNNNNNNNNNNNNNNNNNNNNNNNNNNNNNNNNNNNNNNNNNNNNNNNNNNNNNNNNNNNNNNUUAGACAUUGCUUUAUGUUAUGAAGUACCUACCAAGGCUGCGGCCAGAGAACUUGGCUAACGCAAAGUUAUUCGACCAAGUGAAUGAAAUUGCACAAAGAAAGGGAUGCACCCCAUUGCAGUUAACCCUCGCGUGGGUACACCACUGGAGUGAUGACGUUUGCCCGAUGCCCGGCACGAUCAAGAUCGAGAAUUUCAACCAGAACAUUGGAGCUCUGUCAGUGAAGCUUUUGCCAGAAGAGAUGGCCAAGCUCAAAUCAAUUGCUGAUAUGGACAAUGUCAGGCGUGAGAAUUAAAACCACAUUUGAUACUAAAUUAUGCCUAGGUAGAAAUUCAAAACUCCACCUCCCGCUUUUCAUGUGGGAAGUUUGGCCCCACCUCGCGCUUAUGGAAAGAGUAAUCACGAAGACAUCACAAUAGUUCAAUUGACGUGAGCAGGUACGUCUUCCCUACAUGGUAAGGGUCGUCACUGGGCGUGCAAUUGACGUAAGCACGUGCGUCUUCACAGCCACUACCGCUCCCCUCCUACUCAUCGUAGCUUCUGCCACUCCCCUCCUAUAAAUCUCGGCUCGCCCGACGCCUUCGCCAUCGUCUCGGUGCAUUGCAGGGAACGAUCGAGCUCGAGCUAGACUACGGCAAUGGCGGCAUCGACGACGACGACGGUGAGGAGGAUCAAGCUGGGGUCGCAGGGCCUCGAGGUGUCGGCGCAGGGGCUGGGCUGCAUGAGCAUGUCCGCCUUCUACGGCCCUCCCAAGUCCGAGCCCGACAUGAUCGCCCUCAUCCACCAUGCCGUCGGCUCCGGCGUCACCUUCCUCGACACCUCCGACGUCUACGGUCCUCACACCAACGAAAUCCUCCUCGGAAAGGUCGUUCUCUCAGUCUCUCUUUUGCCUCUGCAUGAAUUAUAUAUGCUUAUGGUUUUACGGAAAUUUGCUUCAUCGAGCAGGAUGCUCUGAUCCUGCGCCUUGGUUUUCUGAUUUCGGGGUUGAUUUUGAGCAGGC
rnacentral:lncRNA from 1 species